rnacentral:rRNA from 1 species
UACGUAGGGGGCAAGCGUUGUCCGGAAUCAUUGGGCGUAAAGAGCGUGUAGGCGGCCUGGUAAGUCCGCUGUGAAAGUCCAGGGCUCAACCCUGGAAUGCCGGUGGAAACUGUCAGGCUCGAGUCCGGAAGAGGCGAGUGGAAUUCCUGGUGUAGCGGUGAAAUGCGCAGAUAUCAGGAGGAACACCAAUGGCGAAGGCGGGUCUCUGGGCCGAAUACUGACGCUGAGGAGCGAAAGCGUGGGGAGCGAACAGG